GAAACGUUUAGCGGCGGGCCUAACACAUGCAAGUCGAGCGGAGAAAAGGGCUUCGGGCCCUGAGUAAAAGCGGCGGACGGGUGAGUAAUACGUAGGUAAUUUUCCUUUCGAGCGGGGGGACAACGUUCCGAAAGGGACGCUAAUACCGCAUACGUUUCUCCGGGACCCCGGUCCUGGAGAGGAAAGCUAGGUAGCAAUAUCCGGCAACUCGAUGAGAAGCCUACGUCGCAUCAGCUAGUUGGGUGGGGGGGGUAAUGGUAACGGCCUACCAAGGCGAAGACCGCGUAGGCUGGUCUGAUGAGGAUGAUCAGCCCACACUGGGACAUGAGACACGGCCCAGACUCCUACGGGAGGCAGCAGUGGGGGAUAUUGGACAAUGGGCGCAAGCCUGAUCCAGCCACGCCGCGUGAGUGAUGAAGGCUCUUCGGGUCCGUAAAGCUCUGUGGGGAGGGACGAACCGCUGCACGUGCAUAUCGUGCAGCAUGACGGUACCUCCUUAGCAAGCACCGGCUAACUUCGUGCCAGCAGCCGCGGGUAUAUAAUACGAAAGGGUGCAAACGUUUGCUCGGAAUUAUUGGGCGUAAAAGCGCACCGUAGGGCGGUAUUGCAAGUCGGAUGUGAAAUCCCUCGGCUUCUUAACCAAGGAAGUGCAUCCGAAACUGGCCGUACUUGAGUACUUAAGAGGAUCGCGGAAUUCCCGGUUGUAGAGGUGAAAUUCGUAGAUAUCGGGAGGAACACCAGUGGCGAAGGCCGGCGAUCUGGGAAGAUACUGACGCUGAGGUGCGGAAAGCGUGGGGAGCAAACAGGAUUAGGAUACCCUGGUAGGUCCACGCCGUAAACGAUGAGUGCUAGAUGCUGUGGGUAUAUGACCCCCGCGGUCUUCUUGUCGCAGCCAACGCGUUAAGCACUCCGCCUGGGGGAGUACGGCCGCAAGGCUAAAACUCAAAGGAAAUUGACGGGGGCCCGCACAAGCGGUGGAGGCAUGUGGUUCAAUUCGACGCAACGCGCAGAACCUUACCUGGGUUUUAAAUCCACUAGAAGCUGGCAGAGAUGCUGGUUUGCCCUUCGGGGGAGCUAGUGAGACGGUGCUGGCAUGGGCUGUCGUCAACUCGUGUCGUGAGAUGUUGGGUUAAGUCCCGCAACGAGCCGCAACCUCUGUCGUUAGUUGCCAGCCUUAAGUGGGGCACUCUAACGAGGACUGCCGACGUCAAGUCGGAGGAAGGUGGAGGAUGACGUCAAGUCCUCAUGGCCCUUAUGCCCAGGGCUACACACGUGCUACCAAUGGACAGUACAAAAGGGUUGCAAAGCCGCAAGGUGGAGCCAAUCCCAAAAAACUGUCCUCAGUUUCGGAUUGUAGUCUGCAACUCGACUACAUGAAGCUGGAAAUCGCUAGUAAUCGCCGAUCAGCACGCGGCGGUGAAUACGUUCCCGGGCCUGUACACACCGCCCGUCACACCAUGGGAAGUCAGUUUGCUCUAGAAGUCGGUGCGCCAACCUCGUGAGGCAGCCGCCCUAAAGAGUGACUGGUGACUGGGGUG
rnacentral:rRNA from 1 species